AGACGAGACAAUUUGAAAUGAUGCAAGAUUAUGGAAAAAAUAAAAUGUGGUCCUAUGAAUAUUUCAGUAUCCCUUGGAAUACAAAUCUAUAGGCAGCUUAACAUUCAAAAGAAGCAUAUAAUGAACUUAAGUUGUGAAAUUCCAAAAUAUGGCUCGAAUAUAAACGUCAAUCAAACGGAAAAUUUUGCUAAUCUUCAAGAUUGU
rnacentral:misc_RNA from 1 species